GACGAACGCUGGCUGCAUGCUUAACACAUGCAAGUCGAACGUAGAUUUCCUGCUUUUGUGCGGUGCUCGAAUGGCCACCUGGUUAGUAACACGUUGUUUCCCUGCCCUUGACUUUAGUAUAGCUUCAGAAAUCUGGAGCUAAUACCUGAUACGAGCUCCUGCUGCAUGGUGUUCGUGCGAAAGUUUCGGCGGUUGGGGAUGGACGCGCGUCUUAUCCGCUCGUUGUUGGGGUAGUGUCUUACCAAGGCUUUGACGGGUAGCCGGCCUGAGAGGGUGAACGGCCAAAUUGGGACUGAGAUAAGGCCCAGACCCCUAAGGGAGGGAGGAGUGGGGAAAAUUGCAAAAUGGGCGGAAGCCUGAUGCAGCAAAGAAGCGUGGGGGAAGAAGGGCUUAGGGUUGUAAAAAGCUUUCGCCUGUGACGAAGCGUGAGUGACGGUAAUGGGUAAAGAAGCACCGGCUAACUACGUG
rnacentral:rRNA from 1 species